AUUUUGGACAAUGGGCGAAAGCCUGAUCCAGCAAUGCCGCGUGAGUGAUGAAGGCCUUAGGGUUGUAAAGCUCUUUUGCCCGGGAUGAUAAUGACAGUACCGGGAGAAUAAGCCCCGGCUAACUCCGUGCCAGCAGCCGCGGUAAUACGGAGGGGGCUAGCGUUGUUCGGAAUUACUGGGCGUAAAGCGCACGUAGGCGGCUUUGUAAGUUAGGGGUGAAAUCCCAGUGCUCAACACUGGAACUGCCUCUAAGACUGCAUCGCUCGAAUCCAGGAGAGGUGAGUGGAAUUCCGAGUGUAGAGGUGAAAUUCGUAGAUAUUCGGAAGAACACCAGUGGCGAAGGCGGCUCACUGGACUGGUAUUGACGCUGAGGUGCGAAAGCGUGGGGAGCAAAC
rnacentral:rRNA from 1 species